rnacentral:lncRNA from 13 species
AGAGGUUGUAAUCAUGUUACUGUGUGUUAACAUGAGGUUCUAUUCAUGUUACUGUGUGUUAACAUGAGGAAGAGGUUCUAUUCGUGUUACUGUGUGUUAACAUGAGGUUCUAUUCAUGUUACUGUGUGAAAACAUGAGGAAGAGGUUCUAUUCAUGUUACUGUGUGUUAACAUGAGGAAGAUGUUCUAUUCAUGUUACUGUGUGUUAACAUGAGGAAGAGGGUUCUAUACAUGUUACUGUGUGUUAACGUGAGGAAGAGGUUCUAUUCAUGUUACUGUGUGCUGACAUGAGGUUCUAUUCAUGUUACUGUGUGUUAACAUGAGGAAGAGGUUCUAUUCAUGUUACU